AGUAUUUGAACUUGAGAAAGGGGCAUCAGCGCCUUCAUUCCCUCUUCAGAAUCUCAAAUCUUACAAUGCAUCUGCUGCUUCGCGUUUUGGUUCUGUUCCAAUGAAUCUUCAAACUGAAAAAACUGGAACUCCCUCUCCUAAGUGGGAAGGAGGCCUUCAGGUAUCUCAGAUGAACAAUGUUGUAAAAGUUUCAAGUGCGGGUUCCCAUUAUAAUGGUUUGUUGCAUCCAUCAAGCAAUCUGAAAGGCUCAACACACUCCAAUUUGUUUAGUUCACUAUCUUCUGGUUUAGGAA
rnacentral:misc_RNA from 1 species